AACGAACGCUGGCGGCAUGCCUAACACAUGCAAGUCGAACGAAGGCUUCGGCCUUAGUGGCGCACGGGUGCGUAACGCGUGGGAAUCUGCCCUUUGGUUCGGAAUAACAGCUGGAAACGGCUGCUAAUACCGGAUGAUGACGAAAGUCCAAAGAUUUAUCGCCAGAGGAUGAGCCCGCGUUGGAUUAGGUAGUUGGUGGGGUAAAGGCCUACCAAGCCGACGAUCCAUAGCUGGUCUGAGAGGAUGAUCAGCCACACUGGGACUGAGACACGGCCCAGACUCCUACGGGAGGCAGCAGUGGGGAAUAUUGGACAAUGGGCGCAAGCCUGAUCCAGCAAUGCCGCGUGAGUGAUGAAGGCCCUAGGGUUGUAAAGCUCUUCUACCCGGGAAGAUAAUGACUGUACCGGGAGAAUAAGCCCCGGCUAACUCCGUG
rnacentral:rRNA from 1 species